CCCCGGACCUCAGCGCGACGCCGAGCCCCGAGACCCCCAUCCCCGGUAGGGUGUCCCAGCUGGCGGCCCCUUCCCGCAGAGGAAGGGCGUGACGGUCCCGCGUGGCGGGGCGAGCUCUGAGCCGUGUGCCGGCGUCGCGCCUCGCUUCGAGGACACGGAAGCUGGACUCGGUGGACCCUGGAACUGGGCAUCAAAGCCGGUUGUACUCUAUGGACCUGUUAGAAUACGGAAGAGGGCAUCCACAUCAAUUAAAUAUAGUAUUUCUCUCCCAGAGCUUUACUGUUUCAUCAGCUUGCAGCAACUAAAGAACAUAUUCUUGAGAUAAAAAGUAACAAAGCAUUUGCAGAGAAAGAAAUGCAGAGGUUACAAAAUCCACCAGCAGCCAAGAACCACACUCUGGCAGGGGCACAGCAAGGACUGAGCCUGAGAGUAGUUCACGGGAUGUUAACGUUACUGUAGACAAAGUAACACUAACCACUGUGCCAUCUUUGGAAAGUCAGUGCAAAAGAGACAUGCUGAGACAUACAUUGUAUUGUCUUCACCAAGUAAGUUGGUAAGGACAGCUUCCAAAUAAAGCUUCAGAAGGAGGACUGAGCUCUGCACUCCUCAGGCUGCUGGGAGUGCCUGGAGCCUUUCACUGGAGCGAGAGCAGUGGGAGGUGGUCUCCUAGCCUGCAGGAGACGGGCCAUUGUUGAGAAACUGUCACCAUGAGAAGAUGUCACCAGGGUGUGCAGCAACACAAGAAAAAAUGUUUUUAAGGGAGAUUGUACAUUCGACCAGAUUACACAGAGAGGUGUUCAGAAACCUACUGUACACAGUCCGGGCAGCCUCCUUUUUCUGACCCUGCUCUGAACAGUGGCGUUGGAGAAGAUGAUUGCAGGUGUCCCGGCAAACCUCCACAAUACUGUGAAUCUAUGGUUCCAUUGACAGAAAAGGCAAAGCCUUUUUUUCCCUUUUUCUUCUUUUUCUUUUCAUCUUCUUUUUUAAAAUUCUGGUUUCUGCUGGUAUAAUUUCUGCUGGAACAUUCUCCUUCCAUUUCUUCAGUUACUUUCUGUCUAAAAUAUGUUCCUUACUGUAGAUCCUUCAAAUGAUAAUCCUCAUUUAUAAAACAGAAAUAUAAUCUCGACUACUUUCCAA